UACGAAGGGGGCUAGCGUUGUUCGGAUUUACUGGGCGUAAAGGGCGCGUAGGCGGAUUUUUAAGUCAGGGGUGAAAUCCCAAGGCUCAACCUUGGAACUGCCUUUGAUACUGAGGAUCUUGAGUCCGGGAGAGGUGAGUGGAACUGCGAGUGUAGAGGUGAAAUUCGUAGAUAUUCGCAAGAACACCAGUGGCGAAGGCGGCUCACUGGCCCGGAACUGACGCUGAGGCGCGAAAGCGUGGGGAGCAAACAGG
rnacentral:rRNA from 1 species